GUUUUAAUUCAUCGACUACCUAUGAAAUAAUUUCAUGAAGAUAGGAAGUUCUCUCAGUCUAAUUGUGGACCGUCGGUGGUCGAAUCGGGGCCCCGCCUACUUCCUCUGUGAUAUCGACUCUGCCAACCACGUCGUAGACAAUAAUCCACCGUCGGAUCUCCCCAUUGCGAACUCGAUCUUGUUGUUUGAUGCCAAGCAUGACUCGCUCGAUGGCUCUUUGCGCGACCGCAAUCUUUUACAUUGUAACAGUCCAUUUUUCGGCGCCAUAAGUAAUCAUGGACAGGACACACUGGUGACUGAAUGAGCAGGAUGACCCUGUACUUCUCUCCAGAAAGAUGAGGAUGUGGAUUAGUUUUGUUUAAUAAAUUAUUUUUCAUUAGUCGCCUCUUGGGAUAUCUGCCGAAAGAUCUGGAUUUUUUAUGUGUAGCAUAAAAUCACACGGAUUAAAC